rnacentral:rRNA from 1 species
UACGUAGGGAGCAAGCGUUGUCCGGAAUCAUUGGGCGUAAAGAGCGUGUAGGCGGCCAAGUCAGUCUGGUGUGAAAUCUUGAGGCUCAACCUCAAGCGUGCAUCGGAUACUGCCUGGCUAGAGUCCGGAAGAGGAGAUUGGAAUUCCUGGUGUAGCGGUGAAAUGCGCAGAUAUCAGGAAGAACACCUAUUGCGAAGGCAAGUCUCUGGUACGUGACUGACGCUGAGACGCGAAAGCGUGGGGAGCGAACAGGAUUAGAUACCCUGGUAGUCCACGCCGUAAACGAUGGAUGUUAGGUGUGGGCGAUUUUCGAUGUCGCCCGUGCCGAAGCUAACGCGUUAAACAUCCCGCCUGGGGAGUACGGCCGCAAGGCUA